rnacentral:rRNA from 1 species
AGUGGCGCAAGGGUGCGUAACACGUGGGCAAUCUGCCGGGAAAUGGGGGAUAGCUCGCCGAAGGGCGAAUUAAUACCGCAUGUGGCCAGGGCAUCUAAAGUCGCGUUUCCUGAUGAGCCCGCGGCCUAUCAGCUAGUUGGUGAGGUAACGGCUCACCAAGGCUAUGACGGGUAGCUGGUCUGAGAGGACGACCAGCCACACUGGAACUGAGACACGGUCCAGACACCUACGGGUGGCAGCAGUCGAGAAUUUUUCUCAAUGGGGGAAACCCUGAAGGAGCGACGCCGCGUGAAGGAUGAAGGUCUUCGGAUUGUAAACUUCUGUCAUUAGGGAACAAUGAUAGUACCUUUAGAGGAAGAGACGGCUAACUCUGUGCCAGCAGCCGCGGUAAUACAGAGGUCUCAAGCGUUGUUCGGAUUCAUUGGGCGUAAAGGGUGCGUAAGUGGCGCGGUAAGUCGGAUGUGAAAUCCCGGAGCUUAACUCCGGAACUGGAUUCGAUAC